rnacentral:lncRNA from 1 species
AAAAAAUUAAAGGAAAAGGCUUAAAGCCUUAGGAGGAACGAGAGACAAGGGCUGGAAAACAAUUGCAAAGAAUUCUACAUAACAAAAAAAUAGAUUUUUCAAGGAGCAAGAAACAGAGGCUACAAUGCUUCUCGACUACUUCAGACCUUCUUUAGGUCACGAUUGAGGUAAUUCUUUUUAUGGGAUUGUAAGCUAUAACAUCAUUAUACACUAGAAUCUAACAACCUAACGGGGUGAAUUCAUAGGAAAGUUUUACAAAACCUCAAGGACACCCAUCAAGUACGAGUUAGGUUUUUGGUGUUACAAGAUAAAUUCUUUACUUUUAUUGGAUUGAUAUAACAGGUUAGGGUUGUUAGAGAUAGUAAAGAUUUGUUAGAACAAGACCUCACCCCAAAACUUAGAAAUUUAGAAGUUGAACCUAAAGUUCUUAGAGUUGAGAAAAGAUUAAUACUUUGGAAAAGUUGGAUACUUAUUGUGACUUAUUGUUGUAGUAUUUGAUCGUUGAGUUGAUUACAAGAAUUGGAACUUACAUUAUUGCUUGAAAGGAGAAAUUGAGGUGAGUGGAUAUAACCUUUUACUAAAGUGGUUCUACUCACAAAAAUACGCCCACAAAGUGUUUGAUAAAAUAUUUUAAAGAGUCAACAUGUGCUUAAUUGAAACGUGUGAAUACAUAUUGACUAAGUAUAUUCUAGUUAAAGCUUAUAUAUUUUUCUGGAGAAGUAUAAUCGUCUAUUUUUUUAUAUUUUUAUGCUUUAUUACGUGAUCUUACAUGUUAAAGUUUCAAGAGUUAGAUAAAACUUUUAAAGAUACUUUGAGUAAUUGUAUUUCAUGCUUAUACUAUGUAUACACUCAAGAAUAUUAUUAUGAAUAUUGAAAGAUCACUUUCAAACAAGAUUUAGAUUUGAAAAGUCACAAGAAGAUGUUUUAGAAAGAAAAGAUUUUUUGGAGUAUCCUCUAUUCUGAGAAAGGGUCAUCGUCCAGGCCGAGGGUCCUAACCAAGGCGUUGACUUCUUGAAACUACAUGUGCCAAAGUAGGGAGCAUACGAGCCGAGUGUCUCGUUGGCGAGAAUUUGCCUAGCUAGGCUAAGUUAUGAUACAUGAGUGCUGAGAACCACGAAGCGAGCGGCACCUCGUGGUUUGGGCCUAUUCGAUCAGGUUGGGAUGGAACCCGUGCCGAUCACACGGUGACUAAGACAAAAAUAAGUCGGGAUAGUUGGAACUCCCGAAGUAUGAAGUGAAGUAUUUUUUUUAAGAAAGAAAAAGAAAAGAAUUUCUUUUAGAAUAUUCAUAAACUGUUGUUAUGUAAUUAUUUUAGAAUUGUUCUUAAACGCUUUAUGUUUUCCAUGCAUGUAGAAUAUUUAUUUGUAAUGUAUAUUUUAUUAAGGUUUUGUCCCCUGUCGUUGAGACUCAUUGAGGAUGGUACCGGCGUUCUCUUUUGGGAACCUGCGUUGGUCUGCGGUACAACGUAGGAACCGGUUUUGCAGGAGAGCAGGCUACAGGUUAGGACUUCCCUCACUUCCAGUGUUAUUGGUGAGCUUCGCUUUUGUUCGUGGAGUAUUCCUUUGCGUCUUCAUUAUUUAGAUAUUUCUUUGUUUACUUGGAGAACUAGCCAGAAAAUCUCAUGUCCUGAGCAGUGCAUCAGUUUAUCAGUAGAGGCUUCAUAGACACAGUCGGUGGGUUAAGAUUCAAGUGUUUUUGAUAAAAACUUUGUAGUAUUUCAGUAGUUACUACGAAUAAAGUUUUGGAGUUGGUUUAUUUUAGAUAAUAAAAUUACUUAAAAGUAUUUGAUUAAAGUAUUGCCUUGUUGCAUAUAAAGUUUGAAGUUAUAAUAGUUUUGAUAAGCGUAGAUAGUUCGCUCGGUCAAAUUUAUCGAUCGGGUAUCGGUCACGGCUUGUUCAGAAAAUGGGUUGUGACAACUGUAGACGGAAAUUUCUUUUUUAUUUUGGUCAAAAUUUUGUUGACUUAUUUUCUGAUUACAUUGGUCGGCAGCUUUAGUCGAUUUUUAAUUAAAAUUUUGAUCACGAAAUUUGUGCAUUGUCCGACUACUGUAGUUGAAAAAUUAAAAAUAUUUUUUUAAAAGUUACGACUACUGUAUCGAAAGAUUGGUCAAAAUUUUUUAUUGACUUUGUUCAGACUAUAGUGGUCGGAAAAAUUAAUUCGCGGUAUUUUGCGCCAAAUUUUAAGACUACUACGGUCGAAAUGGCAGUCGCCUACAAAUUAAAAAAAUAUAAAAAAAUUAAUUAUAAUUUUCUGACUACUGUAGUCGAAAAAUUAUGACUACUAUUCUGUAGUCGGAAAAUAGCAUUUUGAAAAAGUAUCCAAACCAUGUACUUAUCACAACAUACAUAUAAGCAAUGUGAUUGGUAAUCCAUAUUAGACAUGUAUAGCAACAUACAUAUAAAUCAUAAUGUUAUCUAGCAUUUACAAUAUGCAUAUAAUGUUGUACAUGCAUAUACAUGCACAUAUAAUCAAGGUAUAUUACAUUAUGCUCAAAAGUGUAUCCAUAUACAACCCCUUAAUAUAACUUGGUUCUUGUGUAUAUGCUCAUUACUUCACAUAUACAGUCACCCCAUAUACAUAACUUAUAUGUAACAUGAUCUGGUUUGAAAAAAUAUCUUUAACACCCGAAAUUUUUUUAAAGUAUUUAAAGGCCAUUAAUUAUACAGUUUAAUUGUUUGAUACAAUUUAGUUAUUUAAGAUAUCACGUAUAGCUUCCAAUCAUCAUACCAUAAGUUUUAAUACUUAAUUCAUACUCAUAUUCCCAUAAUAUAUCCAUACAUGUAAGUCUAAGGGUGUAGGAUUACCUUUUGGAAGAAAUCUUGCAAAACCCUCUUUUGAGUUCUUGAAGAAAUUUCUUGAAAAUCUAUGUAUUUUAUGGAGGAUUGAGUUAGUUUUAGGAUGAAAUUGAUAGAAUGAAAUACCAAAUUAGUAGGGAUUACUCACCUUGAAUAUGGGGGAAGUUGGGGGGCCUGGAGAGAGUGGAAAUGAGCUCCAAGAAUCGGCUAAGAGGAGUGGGAGAAGUGAGCUACCGAAAUGCUCUUUAUAAAGGCUUCAAGCCUAGCUUGUCCAUCCUCGUGCAUCGCGCGGACAUGGACGAACUCUUGUUAAAGUUUGCGUGUUGGGGAUAUACUUCGUUGUUUUGUUGAAAUGAAUGGGGGUCUUUUCUCGUUCAAACCCGUGCGGCGCACGAGUUCAGACGAGCCCUCAAGAUGCAUCCUUCCUAUAUUUCUUGUUUUUCAACUUACCCUCCUUCGAUACAUUGCUAUGAUGUAAAUCCCCAAUUCACUUCCAGACUUUCAUAUAAGUAUGAAAUCAUGAUUACAUGAUGUUACCCUCAUCCAUAGCCAUCUGGGGUACACAAGCGAAAAGUGGAGAUCUCGAGGCGCGAUUUAAGGCUUUAAACCCUUAGCAAGACUUUCUUUGUUCCACCUGCCUCAUUUUAGUAAUUUGAUCAUAGCUUCUUGUAGAAAUAUCCAAAUGACAAAUGGUUUAAUGCGUUUGAAACCAGACUCGAAGGUCUACACUCUAGAGGAAAUAUUCAUUGAAACUAUCUUUAUAUUAUGAGAGUUAUACCCAUUCAAAGUCAAGUGUUGUGCAAAGUUUGACAUCUAUUCCACUUAAUAUUUCCAACUCGUUCCAAACAACUUCUUUCCACUUACAAACCUCCUUAAUAUGUUCCAAAACACUUUUCAUAUGUAUUUUCAAUUCAAAAUAAUAUGGUUCUAUCCCAUAGGUCUCCUUUAGAACUCAAAAAUAUUAUUUCCAAUUAUUGUUAGUGCACUAUAAAGUCUUAAAUUAUUAGAAAUGUUUUACAGGGCCUUACAAACAUAGAGUGAAAGAAAGAAAGAAAAAUUUCUGAAACUAAUUAUGAAUUAAACAUGACAUAACAUUUGUGUAUUUAUAAGACUUUUGAAACUUAUGAUAUUAAAUAUGUCAUAACAUUUAUACAGUGACCUAGGACCAACAUCAGAAGUGGGGCUAUCAGUAAUUCAAACGGGAAAGCACAAGGUGUUCAGAUAUUCAAGAUGGUAUAUACUGAAUGUGUCCACUGCAUCUAGAUAGAGAGAAAUCAAAGAAUAUUUGAGCAGAAAACUAGAAACUGGCAGUAUGUAGUGAGGGAAAUAGCCUACGGUUGUAAUGUUAGAGAAUUAGAAGGGCCUUACAAAAGCUUCUGUUUUAGGUGAGAGGUAGCUUAGUAUGCUGAUUUCCUCUUUGGUGUAGCUAUUUGUGUUUACUGGAUAGUUGGUUGUGUCUUAGUUUAGCACUUUAGCUAUGAUUUGUAAUGUUUCAUUGGUGAUUAAUGAAAAAGGUUAAUUAUCAAAAAAAAUAUUUGUGCGGCUAUAAAAAUUUCUUAUUAAAAAUAAGAUAUAAUAGUUUUUUAGCUGGAAAGCUGGCAUAUAAGAUAUCUGUCAUUCAUGGAAUUUGGCAAUGCUCCAAGUUUGCUUUCAAUUAGCUUUUGUUUUGGUCCACCAGGGCAUCUCAUUCUUAAAUGAAGAGAAAAAUUCUGCUAAAACAUGUGAAAAAUAUUUAUGAAGGAAAAUAUUAUAUUAAGUAGUCCAUAUAGUUAAGAGAUGAAUGUAUAAAGUUAAACACAAUUGAACUUUUAUCUAAAUUCUAUAUCCUAUUAAUUUUUCAGGUAAAGUUAAAGGGAGGAUCAGUGUCUCAUGCUGAGGUCUUUGCGGAGACACGUAAGAAAAAGAAAAAGGACGGUUCAAGAGAAGGAUGAGUUGAGACACGUGCAUCAGAAACAUAUGUAAGAUCAUAUUCUUGGAUGUUUAGACUUUAUAUUUAGAUUUUAUGGUAGGUUUGGAUGUUGUGGUAUAUAUGUUUAGACUUUAUUAUAUUAAUGUCGAUGUGUAUUAGCUAUUUAGACUUGAUAUUGAAUAUUUAGACUUUAAUUAAUGUUUUGGUUUGAUAUUAUGGGAUUUAAAUAUUUGUUUGUUGAAGUUGAAUGGUUGUUUAGCUAGAAUUGGUUGUUUAGUUGGAAUCGUUAGGUUGAAUUGGUUGUUUAGUUGGAAUGGUCAUUUGGCAGGUGGUG